rnacentral:rRNA from 1 species
AGGACGAACGCUGGCGGCGUGCUUAACACAUGCAAGUCGAGCGGAAAGGCCCUUCGGGGUACUCGAGCGGCGAACGGGUGAGUAACACGUGAGUAAUCUGCCCCUAGCUCUGGGAUAGCUCCGGGAAACCGGGAUUAAUACCGGAUACGACCACCUUAGACAUUCUUUUGUGGUGGAAAGAAUUUCGGCUAGGGAUGAGCUCGCGGCCUAUCAGCUUGUUGGUGGGUAACGCCUACCAGGCGACGAC